rnacentral:rRNA from 1 species
GAUGAACGCUGGCGGCGUGCCUAAUACAUGCAAGUCGAGCGAAUGGAUUAAGAGCUUGCUCUUAUGAAGUUAGCGGCGGACGGGUGAGUAACACGUGGGUAACCUGCCCAUAAGACUGGGAUAACUCCGGGAAACCGGGGCUAAUACCGGAUAACAUUUUGAACCGCAUGGUUCGAAAUUGAAAGGCGGCUUCGGCUGUCACUUAUGGAUGGACCCGCGGCGCAUUAGCUAGUUGGUGAGGUAACGGGUCACCAAGGCAACGAUGCGUAGCCGACCUGAGAGGGUGAUCGGGCACGCUGGGACUGAGACACUGCCCAGAAUCCUACGGGAGGCAGCAGUAGGGAAUCUUCCGCAAUGGACGAAAGUCUAACGGAGCAGCGCCGCGUGAGUGAUGAAGGCUUUCGGGUCGUAAAACUCUGUUGUUAGGGAAGAACAAGUGCUAGUUGAAUAAGCUGGCACCUUGACGGUACCUAACCAGAAAGCCACGGCUAACUACGUGCCAGCCGCCGCGGUAA